AUAGAGACUCAGAGCUGCAUAUCAAUAAGCGGAGGAAAAGAAACUAACUAGGAUUCCCUCAGUAACGGCGAGUGAAGCGGGAAGAGCUCAAAUUUGAAAUCUUCAAGGUUUUACCUUGACGAAUUGUAGUUUAAAGAAGUGUUUUCUGUUGGAGUUUUGGUAAAAGUUCUUUGGAAUAGGACAUCAUAGAGGGUGAGAAUCCCGUAUUUGACCAUUAUUUCCAGCUUUGUGAUACACUUUCAAAGAGUCGGAUUGUUUGGGAAUGCAGUCCAAAAUGGGUGGUAAAUUUCAUCUAAAGCUAAAUAUUGGCGAGAGACCGAUAGCGAACAAGUACCGUGAGGGAAAGAUGAAAAGAACUUUGAAAAGAGAGUUAAACAGUACGUGAAAUUGUCAAAAGGGAAGCGUUUGACACCAGUGUUGUUUAGUUGAAAAUCAAUUCAAUAGUUUUUGAUUUUAAGUAGUAUUUGACUUCAUCAGCUUGCUGCUUUUUUCUCUGAAAUUAUUGAAUGCACUUUUCAGUUAACAAGUCAACAUCAGUUUCUUUUGUUGUAAAAAGGUGAGAGGAAGGUGGCUUGCGCUUCGGCUCAAGUGUUUAUAGCCUUUUACCCCUGCAAUCGAAGAGACUGAGGUCUGCAGCGUAGAUCCUUCGGGGUUAGAUACAUUUGUGCUAAGUUAUAGCUUGUCAUAGACAACUUGUUGACUAUGUUCAGUCAUGUCGCUUACUCGCUUAUGCUAUUUUACCUACGCUUAGGAUGUUGAAGUCAUCGUAUCGCGC
rnacentral:rRNA from 1 species